CUGUCCAAUGAAAAUUGACGUUACAAACGGGCAGGAUUAUAAUCAUUAGCGAACAAGUUCACCGUCAAUUUACCUUUCGAGUUUUUGUAAUUUUCCAUGUUUGGUGUGGUAUGGCUUUUAUGAGUUUUCAAUUAUCUCUUGCAGAUAGAUAUUUUCAUCAUGAUGUUUGAGCGAGUUGUCCAGGUUGUUUUGAUUCUAUGCGCAACAACAGCUGGCUUAUCACAAAGUAG